rnacentral:rRNA from 1 species
GGCCUGGCUGGGUGGUCCGCUUCACAGCAUGUACUGUCUGGCUGGGUCUUACUUCUUGGUGAGCUGGCAUGCCCUUUAUUGGUGUGCAUUGGGGAACCAGGACUUUUACCUUGAGAAAAUUAGAGUGUUCAAAGCAGGCUAUUGCCUGAAUACAUUAGCAUGGAAUAAUAAAAUAGGACAUGCGGUUCUAUUUUGUUGGUUUCUAGAGUCACCAUA